rnacentral:rRNA from 1 species
GGAGCUACCAUGCAGUCGAGCGAACCUUCGGGUUAGCGGCGGACGGGUGAGUAACGCGUGGGAACGUACCCUCUUCUGCGGGAUAGCCACUGGAAACGGUGAGUAAUACCGCAUACGCCCUUCGGGGGAAAGAUUUAUCGGAGGAGGAUCGGCCCGCGUUGGAUUAGGUAGUUGGUGGGGUAAUGGCCUACCAAGCCUACGAUCCAUAGCUGGUUUUAGAGGAUGAUCAGCCACACUGGGACUGAGACACGGCCCAGACUCCUACGGGAGGCAGCAGUGGGGAAUCUUAGACAAUGGGCGCAAGCCUGAUCUAGCCAUGCCGCGUGAGUGACGAAGGCCUUAGGGUCGUAAAGCUCUUUCGCCAGAGAUGAUAAUGACAGUAUCUGGUAAAGAAACCCCGGCUAACUCCGUGCCAGCAGCCGCGGUAAUACGGAGGGGGUUAGCGUUGUUCGGAAUUACUGGGCGUAAAGCGCACGUAGGCGGAUUGGAAAGUUGGGGGUGAAAUCCCAGGGCUCAACCCUGGAACUGCCUCCAAAACUCCCAGUCUGGAGUUCGAGAGAGGUGAGUGGAAUUCCGAGUGUAGAGGUGAAAUUCGUAGAUAUUCGGAGGAACACCAGUGGCGAAGGCGGCUCACUGGCUCGAUACUGACGCUGAGGUGCG